CAUCAAUAUUGCAACAAUGUUUACAUUGAUUUUUUGUAUUUUAUUGCUUCUUGUUUUUCAUGUUAUAUACACAAUACGGAAAUGCAUUGUUUUGUCAGCAUUUUUGUUUCGAUUUUCUACAUAGCUAUUAAUGGCCACAAUAG